rnacentral:rRNA from 1 species
GGAAUAUUGCACAAUGGGCGAAAGCCUGAUGCAGCAACGCCGCGUGCGGGAAGACGGCCCUAGGGUUGUAAACCGCUUUCAGCAGGGAAGAAAAUGACGGUAUCUGCAGAAGCCGGUGCGGCCAACUACGGGCCAGCAGCCGCUGUGACACGUAGGCACCAAGCGUUGUCCGGAUUUAUUGGGCGUAAAGAGCUCGUAGGCGGUUCAGUAAGUCAGGUGUGAAAACUCAGGGCUCAACCCUGAGAGGCCACUCGAUACUGCUGUGACUUGAGUACGGUAGGGGAGCGGGGAAUUCCUGGUGUAGCGGUGAAAUGCGCAGAUAUCAGGAGGAACACCAGUGGCGAAGGCGCCGCUCUGGGCCGUAACUGACGCUGAGGAGCGAAAGCGUGGGUAGCAAAC